UAGGGAAUCUUCCACAAUGGGCGAGAGCCUGAUGGAGCAACGCCGCGUGUGUGAUGAAGGGUUUCGGCUCGUAAAACACUGUUGUAAGAGAAGAAUGACAUUGAGAGUAACUGUUCAAUGUGUGACGGUAUCUUACCGGAAAGGAACGGCUAAAUACGUACCAG
rnacentral:rRNA from 1 species